GUGAAAAGUAAAAGGAGACGCUGCUCUGGAUCACUCUGUUCGGGAAAGUAGUACAGCAAGGUUCCCUUGCUCAGGAUUGUUUUGAAUUCUCAGGAGUUGAGAAAGUCAGGAAGGGUGGUCUAUGAAGUCAGGAGAUUUCGGCAUGACAUAGUGCUGUAUUGGUGGUCCCGGGACAGGUGUGGUUGUAGGUUUGGAGGGAUACCUGUACAUCAUUAAAUGCAGCUCUGCAGUCCAGGAAGAGCAGUCAAAGUGGUCUUCACUGUGAACAAGCACUGUCUAGGGUACAUUAUCCAAAUUAAGAAUUAAAGAAAUGUCUGGCGCCUGGUUGUCUAAUUGAAUCUGGAAAACUUACUUAAAGGGAUAAUCCACCAAAAAAAAAGAAAAAAAAAAAAAAAAAGAAAAGAAAAAAAUUAUGUAAUUAUUUACUCACCAUCAUGUUGUUCCAAACGUAACUUUAUUUCUGUGGAACACAAAAGGUGCAUUUUUGAAGAAUAUCCUGGCCUCUCUUUUCGAUAUAAUGAAAGUGACAAGGGUCUAAGGCUGUCAAGAAUUUUAGUUUUUGGCUGAACUAUUUCUACAAACAUUCCAUUGUGUAAGAACCGUGACUCCGAUCAGUUUGAUCAGAUAUAGCAACCUGAGUCAGAACAGGCUGAAGGACUGUGCCAAAUUUGGUCAAGCCAACAUAAGUUGCUUAAAGGUUCUUUAAUAAUAUUUGCAGGCUGAUAAUGUGGUGCUAUUUUCAUUGUUGUAUGCUCUAAUUCAUUGAUGUUUUCCAUCUAAUUGAACUGACAAAUCAAACACAUUAUACUUGCCAAAGCUUGGCCUAAAGGGUUAACAGGUAACGUUAACUGUCAUUUCGUGUGAAAAUCAAGGCUGCAUUUUUCUCCUUAUAGCGCUCGGCGACCAUUAAAUCAGACACCUGCUCACAGCACAAUCUCUUCUCUCCUGCCUGUACAUGGUGGGAUUGUGUACCAAGGUGCAAGCAACAGACAAUAAAGUGUGUAAUAACACACGGUAAGCCGGAUCUGUAUAGGCUUUUCAGCAUUCAGAGCAGACCUUAUACAAGUUGGUAAAAGAAGGUAAGAAUCACAGCGGUGUACUGCACUCUGCUGCAGGCCAUCUUGAUUGUUCAUAGUAAGAAAUUACAGGAAAAUUUUGUGGAAAACUGUCUCUGAAAACAGCCCUUUAGAUAAAACAGUCGGAGACAUAUUUGAUAAAUAUAGCCAAAGCCAAAAAUUAACAUUCAUGUCACCCUCAUGUUACUUAUGUCUGAUUUUCUUCCGUGGAACACAAAAUGAGCAUUUAGACAAAGUUCACAUUGCUCUUUUCCAUAAAAUGAAACUAAAUGUGGACGGGGGCUGUCGAGCUACUAAAAUGACAAAAAGCGCUAAAAAGUCGUCUAUACAACUAAUGCACAUACAAGUCAUUCAAAUUGUUCAAUGCUUUGUUUUUGGAACAGAUGAAAAUUUAAGCCGUUAUUUACUGAAAAUAUUGCCCUCGGCCAUAGCUUUUAAAUAUCAUUUGCAUUUGCAUAUAUUCAAAUAUGGAACGGGAAGAUGCAUCGUGGUAGGUUUGUCAUCAAUGAUGCCAAACAUGAUUGUCAUGUCUUGUUAUCAAUGACAACGUGCCAGUUUGAAUUUAUGUAAGUGCAAAUGAGUUAUGAGAGCUACUGUAGAGAGGAUUUUCAGUUAAUAACAGCUUAAAUUUUGGCCUGUUCCUUAAACAAAGCUGUUGAAUGGCUUCAGAAGUCUGGAAAAACAGCGCACAAAUUGGCCUGAUGCAACGCUACGUCAUCGCUGUGUUGGUGGUGAGUAUGUGAGUUGGCAAGCCUGAAGGACCCUCAGUGGCCCAGGUACAGGUGAGUGACCAAACCUGUUCUUGUUAGAAAAUCUAUUUUGAAUUAUGACAUUGUUUAGAGAGGUCGUAGUGACUCAUAUUUUCCAUCUGCUGCCAGUUCUCCUUUGUACAAGGGCUGACGUCACCCUCCCUUGGCCAAAAUUGAUGCAAGGAUUCUUUCUAGGCAAUCAGGGUCUAUUUAUACACAGAUAAACACGCAAUACUUCAAAGUACAUUGUCUGUUAUGCAAUAAGAUGUGGUCACUUCUUUGUAUUUCCAUUCUCCCCAACCAAUCAACCAUAGCUUUGAGUCUGGUAUCAGUGGAGGAAAGUGGACGUCAAUAUUCAAAACCGCAAUUCUAUGGCCGUGCCAUUUUUUAAGCCCACUGCUAUUUCAACUUUUUGCCUUUCCUGUUGUGUUAAUCAUCAACCUUAGCCACUGACAUAAAGACUGCUGAUGGGGCCACUUCCAU